rnacentral:rRNA from 1 species
CCUACGGGGCGCAGCAGUGGGGAAUAUUGCACAAUGGGGGAAACCCUGAUGCAGCAACGCCGCGUGAGUGAAGAAGUCAUUCGUGAUGUAAAGCUCUAUCAGCAGGGAAGAAAAUGACGGUACCUGAGUAAGAAGCCCCGGCUAACUACGUGCCAGCAGCCGCGGUAAUACGUAGGGGGCAAGCGUUAUCCGGAUUUAUUGGGUUUAAAGGGUGCGCAGGCGGGAGAUCAAGUCAGCGGUAAAAUGUCGGGGCUCAACCCCGGCCGGCCGUUGAAACUGGUUUUCUAGAGUUGGAGAGAAGUAUG